rnacentral:rRNA from 1 species
AUUGAACGCUGGCGGCGGGCCUAACACAUGCAAGUCGAGCGGUAACACAGGGAGCUUGCUCCCGGGUGACGAGCGGCGGACGGGUGAGUAAUGUCUGGGAAACUGCCUGAUGGAGGGGGAUAACUACUGGAAACGGUAGCUAAUACCGCAUAACGUCGCAAGACCAAAGAGGGGGACCUUCGGGCCUCUUGCCAUCAGCUGUGCCCAGAUGGGAUAAGCUAGUAGGUGGGGUAACGGCUCACCUAGGCGACGAUCCCUAGCUGGUCUGAGGGGAUGACCAGCCACCCUGGAACUGAGAAACGGUCCAGACUCCUACGGGAGGCAGCAGAGGGGAAUAUUGCACAAUGGGCGCAAGCCUGAUGCAGCCAUGCCGCGUGUAUGAAGAAGGCCUUCGGGUUGUAAAGCACUUUCAGCGGGGAGGAAGGUGUUGAGGUUAAUAACCUCAGCAAUUGACGUUACCCGCAGAAGAAGCACCGGCUAACUCCGUGCCAGCCGCCGCGGUAA